GAUGAACGCUGGCGGCGUGCCUAAUACAUGCAAGUCGAGCGAAUGGAUUAAGAGCUUGCUCUUAUGAAGUUAGCGGCGGACGGGUGAGUAACACGUGGGUAACCUGCCCAUAAGACUGGGAUAACUCCGGGAAACCGGGGCUAAUACCGGAUAACAUUUUGAACCGCAUGGUUCGAAAUUGAAAGGCGGCUUCGGCUGUCACUUAUGGAUGGACCCGCGUCGCAUUAGCUAGUUGGUGAGGUAACGGCACACCAAGGCAACGAUGCGUAGCCGACCUGGGAGGGUGAUCGGCCCCACUGGGACUGAGACACGGCCCAGACUCCUACGGGAGGCAGCAGUAGGGAAUCUUCCGCAAUGGACGAAAGUCUGACGGAGCAACGCCGCGUGAGUGAUGAAGGCUUUCGGGUCGUAAAACUCUGUUGUUAGGGAAGAACAAGUGCUAGUUGAAUAAGCUGGCACCUUGACGGUACCUAACCAGAAAGCCACGGCUAACUACGUGCCAGCAGCCGCCGUAA
rnacentral:rRNA from 1 species